UCAGACAUGGUGUAAUGGGAACACCGCCUCGUGAAAUGCAGCAUUUGUGACAAUCUUCCGAGGCUGUUUAGGGUUCGAAUCCCUGUGUCUGAA